rnacentral:rRNA from 1 species
GGGAGCUUGCUUCCCUUGAGAGCGGCGGACGGGUGAGUAAUGCCUAGGAAUCUGCCUAGUGGUGGGGGAUAACGUUCGGAAACGGACGCUAAUACCGCAUACGUCCUACGGGAGAAAGCGGGGGACCUUCGGGCCUCGCGCCAUUAGAUGAGCCUAGGUCGGAUUAGCUAGUUGGUGAGGUAACGGCUCACCAAGGCGACGAUCCGUAACUGGUCUGAGAGGAUGAUCAGUCACCCUGGAACUGAGACACGGUCCAGACUCCUACGGGAGGCAGCAGUGGGGAAUAUUGGACAAUGGGCGAAAGCCUGAUCCAGCCAUGCCGCGUGUGUGAAGAAGGUCUUCGGAUUGUAAAGCACUUUAAGUUGGGAGGAAGGGUAGUAACUUAAUACGUUGCUAUUUUGACGUUACCGACAGAAUAAGCACCGGCUAACUCUGUGCCA